UACGUAGGGUGCAAGCGUUAAUCGGAAUUACUGGGCGUAAAGAGUGCGUAGGUGGUUGGAUAAGUUAUCUGUGAAAUCCCUGGGCUUAACCUGGGCAGGUCAGAUAAUACUGUUUAACUCGAGUAUGGGAGAGGGUAGUGGAAUUUCCGGUGUAGCGGUGAAAUGCGUAGAGAUCGGAAGGAACACCAGUGGCGAAGGCGGAUACCUGGCCUAAUACUGACACUGAGGCACGAAAGCGUGGGGAGCAAACAGG
rnacentral:rRNA from 1 species